rnacentral:rRNA from 1 species
CCUCCUCCUUGGGGAUUCCCUUGGGAAAACCGGGGAUUAAUCCGGGAUGAAACCUAAAUAUUGCCUUCCUUUAAUGUCAAAAGGAUUUUUUCGGUUUAUGGUGAGCUUGCGUUGGAUUAGCUAGUUGGUGAGAAUAAAAAGCUCACCAAGGCCCAUGAUCAGUAGCCGGCCUGAGAGGGGGAACGGCCUCAUUGGGACUGAGACACGGCCCAAACUCCUACGGGAGGCAGCAGUGGGGAAAUAUUGCACAAUGGGGGGAAACCCUGAUGCAGCGACGCCGCGUGAGCGAAGAAGGGAUUCGUCUCGUAAAGCUCUGUCCUAUGGGAAGAUAAUGACGGUACCAUAGAAGAAAGCCCCGGCUAACUACGUGCCAGCAGCCGCGGUAAUACGUAGGGGGCGAGCGUUGUCCGGAAUCAUUGGGCGUAAAGGGUUCGUAGGCGGUAAUGCGUGUCAGAUGUGAAAUCUUGUGGCUUAACCACAUUAAGCAUCUGAAACUGCAUAACUUGAGUGAAGGAGAGGUAAGUGGAAUUCCUAGUGUAGCGGUGAAAUGCGUAGAUAUUAGGAGGAACACCAGUAGCGAAGGCGACUUUCUGGACUGUAACUGACACUGAGGCACGAAAGCGUGGGUAGCAAACAGGAUUAGAUACCCUGGUAGUCCACGCCGUAAACGAUGAAUGAAAGGUGUCGGCCCUUACGGGGGUCGGUGCCGAAGUUAACGCAUUAAGCA